rnacentral:rRNA from 1 species
CCCCUAGAUGUUCUGGGCCGCACGCGCGCUACACUGAACAGUUCAACAAGUCUUAACCUUGGCCGAUAGGUCUGGGUAAUCUUUGAACGCUGUUCGUGAUUGGGAUAGACCUUUGCAAUUAUGGGUCUUCAACGAGGAAUUCCCAGUAAGUGCAAGUCAUAAGCUUGCGCUGACUACGUCCCUGCCCUUUGUACACACCGCCCGUCGCUACUACCGAUUGAAUGAUUUAGUGAGGACUUCGGACUGGGACCGAUGCGGCUUUCGGGCUGCGUCGGUAUUCUGGAAAGAUGUCCAAACUGUAUCAUUUAGAGGAAGUAAAANUCGUAACA